rnacentral:rRNA from 1 species
GAGUUUGAUCAUGGCUCAGAUUGAACGCUGGCGGCAUGCCUUACACAUGCAAGUCGAACGGCAGCACGGGAGCUUGCUCCUGGUGGCGAGUGGCGAACGGGUGAGUGAUGCAUCGGAACGUAUCCUGGAGUGGGGGAUAACGUAGCGAAAGUUACGCUAAUACCGCAUAUUCUGUGAGCAGGAAAGCGGGGGACCUUCGGGCCUCGCGCUCUUGGAGCGGCCGAUGUCGGAUUAGCUAGUUGGUGAGGUAAAGGCUCACCAAGGCGACGGUCCGUAGCAGGUCUGAGAGGAUGAUCUGCCACACUGGAACUGAGACACGGUCCAGACUCCUACGGGAGGCAGCAGUGGGGAAUUUUGGACAAUGGGGGCAACCCUGAUCCAGCCAUGCCGCGUGAGUGAAGAAGGCCUUCGG